rnacentral:rRNA from 1 species
AGAGUUUGAUCCUGGCUCAGGACGAACGCUGGCGGCGUGCCUAAUACAUGCAAGUCGAGCGGACAGAAGGGAGCUUGCUCCCGGAUGUUAGCGGCGGACGGGUGAGUAACACGUGGGUAACCUGCCUGUAAGACUGGGAUAACUCCGGGAAACCGGAGCUAAUACCGGAUAGUUCCCUGAACCGCAUGGUUCAAGGGUGAAAGACGGUUUCGGCUGUCACUUACAGAUGGACCCGCGGCGCAUUAGCUAGUUGGUGAGGUAACGGCUCACCAAGGCGACGAUGCGUAGCCGACCUGAGAGGGUGAUCGGCCACACUGGGACUGAGACACGGCCCAGACUCCUACGGGAGGCAGCAGUAGGGAAUCUUCCGCAAUGGACGAAAGUCUGACGGAGCAACGCCGCGUGAGUGAUGAAGGUUUUCGGAUCGUAAAGCUCUGUUGUUAGGGAAGAACAAGUGCAAGAGUAACUGCUUGCACCUUGACGGUACCUAACCAGAAAGCCACGGCUAACUACGUGCCAGCAGCCGCGGUAAUACUUAGGUGGCAAGCGUUGUCCGGAAUUAUUGGGGCGUAAAGGGCUCGCAGGC